AAUGAAGGCUCGAUAAUCAGCUCACGACAUAUAGGUGUGUCGUGUGUGUACAGAGUUAUAAAGGUUGGUAUAAAAUCCUUGUUAAAUCGGAGAAUUAAUUCGGGUUACGCCAGAGGUGGCGAUAUAUGCUCCAAGUGGAAGCGAUUCGCCAUUAAAUAAAAGAAGAAGAAGAAGAAUUACGCCAUCUGGUGUCACAAACAAACGUGUGCCUGCAUUAGCUUUGUUACGGCAAUGGAUUGUGGGAGAUUCUCAUAACAUGUGAGGAUCUCUCGAGGGUAAGGUGCCUGUAUUAUUUUGGUGGACAAAAUGUAUGUUUUUAUUUUAUAAGGACUAUAACGUUUUGUUGUGUUUGUUUAGUUUAAUGUUAAUCGUUUAAUGCUCACACAGCAGCAUGUUUUUUGUGUGUUUGGCUAUUGGUUUUAUAUGAUUUAUCAACGUGAUCAUCAAUAGCUAAUCUGAGCUAAUAAGCUAAUGGGAGAGCUGCUCCACACGAUGCCUCGACUACAAAGUCUUCCAUGUUUCUACGCUUCUUCCUCUGUGUCACAGUUUCGGGAAUAUCAAGAUCAUUGCACAGGGCCUUGGUCUUGCUUUCUCGUCACUUCUGUAACUUUUCAGUGUGUUCUCAACUGCUGUUUUGUAAUUUACUGCCUGCACCAAGUCAAUUGUUUCUUUCUGCAGGUAUUUGUGCAGGCCCUGAGUGGUUGAGAGCAGUGUCUGGAACAGGACAAGCAUGUAGAUGGUACUGCAUUUGCAAAACUUGCUUUCCAGCCCCUUUGCCAGAGGGGCUGAAAGGCUCCCUAAAGUCUUGAUCAAAGCAGGGAGGUUUUUGACAUGCCCAGCGAACAAGUUAUUUGUCCCCUACCUCUAGCUGUUUCUGAAAUGUUUGCAAUCUCUAAUGGUGGAGAAGAAAGAGUAGAGACACUCCAGGAGAUCAACGCAGGAAAGUAAUCACCAACUGUGAGUGAUCUGUUGCCGAGGGGACACUACACCGGAGUUACAUAAGCAGAGGUGGAAGUGUUAGGCUAAAUCGCCUUGGUUUGACCUUCGCAAAUCGGUCGACGACCUCCCCAUGGAGGGUGACAUGCCUGUAUGCCAAUUAAUAUUUUUUCCCCAACUCCAGAAAACCUGUUUUGAAGCUCCUCCAGCAUUCUGUCGAGAACUGGAAAGAAGAGCCUUGUGUAUGUUUGAAUUUUCAUGUUCUCGAAAAGAAUCCAAUGCACGCUUCCAGUUUGUGUAUCCUGAGGUGGUGAGGGUGUCCCUUUGAUCCCUUGAUUGCUUUGGUUUGCCAUAUAGUCUACAACUAAAGCAGAAUGCUGCAUUGGCAGUGGUAGAAUAUUCAACCCAUUUAAAAGUAUCAAACCAACUUGGUUGAAAUGAUCUCUUUUGCUGGCCAAACAUGCCGGAUGGAAAACAGUGAUGUCUCACUUGCCUUGGCCCUGUAUCUGCAGUCCCUAAAUCAGUUACCCAGUUACCCAUUGACUCUUGUCUGUUCUGAUGUUCCUGUUCAUUGUUGUUCUUAUCUGUUGUAUCUCCUUCUUGUGUGUCCCUUUCUCCUGUUCUCCUUUCUUCAUCCUCUACUAUUUUUGGCUCAUCUGUGAUGACUGUGUAGGUAAACACAAACAAGUAUUUAAAAUCAGUUUCCAGCUCUGUCAAAUAAAUGAAUUUCAAGAUACACAAAUUUGUCUUCAUUAAAAUGAGUGUCACCACACUGUCACAAAAUAUAAUACUAACCAAUUGAAAAUAGUUAAAUUGACAUUGGAAACCUCUUGUACAGUAGAUAUCACUGUUAGUAGUUAUCUGCCAAUAGGAGAGAAUCAUUCCUA